UACCUGGUCUUGGUCUCACUGUGGGGGCUUACAUGAUGCUUACUGAAAUCCACUCAAUGCUCACUACUCCUUCAAACGUUCUGUCCCUGGCGCGCAGCGAGAUGGCUUGAUGUCAGGAUCGCAGCUUUUCUCGGAGCCAUGUCGCUUGAGCCGUACAUUCUGGCUGCUGGUAUACCAUCUUGGAGGGGGUUCAUAGGCACCUAGGGAAAAGAAGUCAGCCUUCGGAAACAAAAUAAGGUCUCAAGGAAUCUUCAAAAAUGAAAUUAGGGAAGUAUAAAAGCUUCAAAUAACUCAGCAGUGUGGCUUGAGGGUUUCUUAUCCCGAAAUGCCAACAUCGACCAAGACACCACACACCACUGGGCCGAUAAUGAAUGGGACAAAAGGUACUGCGCAAAUAUAGUAUGUUUGACGUCUAUUUACCAAAUCCUGGACCAUGCUCGUAAGGUAUCUUGUAGGGGUGACACAAGGCUUUAUUCAUACCAUACCGAGUAGUAAAGCUAUUUCCCAACCAACAUCCAUAAUAAGUUAGCAAGGAUGCAUGAGUUGCUCAUAAACCCAAACUCCGAUCAGGUGCUUUUUCCCCUCAAGCAACAGGCGCCGCUUGCGUCGUUAGUAUUACCCGAUUUAAUCGACCGGUUACAGUUCAAGGGUGGCGAAAUCAAGCUCCCACCAUAGAUUGGACACAUUAGGAACAAUUUGACAUCUGAAAGAAAAUUUUCUUUAAAUAUAUAAAAUAAACAUAUAAAAUACUAAUCACUGGGGCUCACUGAGGAGAAAGGCCACGAAGGGCGAAGCUAGUUUCAAAGACUCCCCUUCCAGUGUUUGAGAAGUAAGCACUCUUGAUAAUAACGAGUAAAUGAUGAAAAGAGUGGUAAAGCGUGGUCCGAGAAAAUGGUCAUAAUAACAAUAACGAUGACAAUGAUGACAAUGAUAUUGAUAGUGAUGAUAAUGAUAAAAUAAGA
rnacentral:sRNA from 2 species